GACGAACGCUGGCGGCGUGCCUAAUACAUGCAAGUCGAGCGGACGAAUCGAAAGCUUGCUUUUGAUUCGUUAGCGGCGGACGGGUGAGUAACACGUGGGCAACCUGCCCUGUAGACGGGGAUAACACCGAGAAAUCGGUGCUAAUACCGGAUAACACGAAAUGUCGCAUGACGUUUCGUUGAAAGACGGCGCAAGCUGUCGCUACAGGAUGGGCCCGCGGCGCAUUAGCUAGUUGGUGAGGUAACGGCUCACCAAGGCGACGAUGCGUAGCCGACCUGAGAGGGUGAUCGGCCACACUGGGACUGAGACACGGCCCAGACUCCUACGGGAGGCAGCAGUAGGGAAUCUUCCGCAAUGGACGAAAGUCUGACGGAGCAACGCCGCGUGAGCGAAGAAGACCUUCGGGUCGUAAAGCUCUGUUGUUAGGGAAGAACAAGUAACGCAGUAACUGGCGUUACCGUGACGGUACCUAACGAGAAAGCCACGGCUAACUACGUG
rnacentral:rRNA from 1 species